CGCGUAGGGCGCAAGCGUUGUCCGGAAUUACUGGGUGUAAAGCGCGUGUAGGCGGCAGGCCAAGUCUGUGGUGAAAUCGCCCGGCUCAACUGGGCGGGGUCCAUGGAAACUGGUCAGCUGGAGGACGGUAGAGGUGAGUGGAAUUCCCGGUGUAGUGGUGAAAUGCGUAGAGAUCGGGAGGAACACCCGUGGCGAAGGCGGCUCACUGGGCCGGUCCUGACGCUGAGACGCGAAGGCGUGGGGAGCGAACGGG
rnacentral:rRNA from 1 species